rnacentral:lncRNA from 1 species
CAGGAGCUUUUUGAUAAAGCAAUAGGGAAAUUGCUGAAAAAGAAGUCAAGAAAGCCAUCCCGUUCACAAUCGCUACAAAAUCAGGAAAUAAACAAAAUUCCUGGAAUAAGUAGUGACCAAGGAAGUGAAGGAUCUCUCCAACAAAAACCACAGAAGGCAAAGAAGGAAACUCAAGAGAACAUGGGAAAGGUAGCCCACGUUCAUGGAUGGGAGUAAUUACGAUUGUUCAAAUGUCCAUCUACCCAAAGCAAUCUACAGACCCUAUCAAAACACCAAGGGCAUUCUUCCCAGAUAUAUAUAUAUAUAAAAAAUUCCAAAAAUUUAUACAGAGCACAAAAGAUUCUCCACUAGCCUCAGCUGUCCUGAGCAGAAAGAACAAAGCUGGGGGCAUCAUGAUACCUGACUUCAAAAUAUACUAUGAAUAUACUGUGAAGUGAGCCCUAGGUGACUCUACAGCACAGCACUGGCACAGGAGCUGACACCCAGACCAAGAGAACAGAGUGGAUGAGCCCAAGGAAGCCUGUAUGUUUACGGGCAGCUGAUUUUUGACAAAGGGCAAUCAGAACAUAUGUUGGAGAAAGGAAAGUCUCUUCAAUAAAGACUUCUAGAAAAAUGGAUAUCUGUACGCAGAAGAAAGAAACCCACCCUUGUCUCUCAUCAUGUAUACAAACAGCUGCCCGGUGUCACAGGCUCAUGGAUGGGGGGCGGGGUAGCCACAGCCCACAGCCCCGCCUGCCUGGGAAGCACUUUCUUUUUUUUUCUUUUUUUUCCUGUACUAGGAAUUGAAUUCAGGGAAGCUCUCCCAGUGAGCCACGUCUACAGCCCUUUUUAUUUUUUAUUUUGAGACAGGGUCUCACAAGGGUUACCCAGCUGGCCCUGAACUUGCAAUCCUCGCUCUGGAGUCACCAGGAUCACACGGGCACCACCACGCCUGGUUCACAAAGUCCCCUUGACCAAAGGACUCAGUCUAAUCUGACCUCUGGAUCCAACUACUAGAUGGUGGGAGACACAGGGACAAGAGGGACGGGUCACUAAACCAUAAGGACGCAACGGGCGAAACCAGGGUGUGACCGGCUACAGAAGGAAAGA